GGCGAACGGGUGAGGAAUACAUCGGAACGUACCCCGGAGUGGGGGAUAACCCAGCGAAAGUUGGGCUAAUACCGCAUAUGCUCUGAGGAGGAAAGUGGGGGACCGCAAGGCCUCACGCUCUGGGAGCGGCCGAUGUCCGAUUAGCUUGUUGGUGGGGUAAUGGCCUACCAAGGCGACGAUCGGUAGCUGGUCUGAGAGGAUGAUCAGCCACACUGGGACUGAGACACGGCCCAGACUCCUACGGGAGGCAGCAGUGGGGAAUUUUGGACAAUGGGGGCAACCCUGAUCCAGCCAUGCCGCGUGCGGGAAGAAGGCCUUCGGGUUGUAAACCGCUUUUGGUCGGGAAGAAAAGGUUAUCCCUAAUAAGGAUGACUCUUGACGGUACCGGCAGAAUAAGCACCGGCUAACUACGUGCCAGCAGCCGCGGUAAUACGUAGGGUGCGAGCGUUAAUCGGAAUUACUGGGCGUAAAGCGUGCGCAGGCGGUUUGUUAAGUCUGAUGUGAAAGCCCCGGGCUCAACCUGGGAACUGCAUUGGAAACUGGCAAGCUCGAGUAUGGCA
rnacentral:rRNA from 1 species